CAUAGACUGCUGCAGUGUUGAGAGAGGUCCAAAUGUGUGAUUUAAAAACAACAGCACCUGGUUGGUAGGAAUCUUCUCCUGAUGUGGGCUUUGCCCUGCUUUCAAACUCAGUGAAUUCACAAAUGUGACACCUUAUUUGAAGACUGGGGAAACGAUAUCAGACCUAUAUCCACAUGGGGAAAUGACAUAUCAGGUCAGAGCCCCUUUAGAAGUCUCCAGGAAUCAGGGAAGCAACAUUUAGUCAAUAUAUUAUUUGUUUAUUUUAAUACUUGUAUCCAAACUUUCCAUCAUUUGGGGAGCCACAGAAGACUUUCCAGCCACAUUAAAACUAACAAUUAAAUGACAUCAAACCAAAAAGUUAAAAAAAAUUACAAUUUUUAAAAAAAACUAGAGCAGAACAAAAGAGAAGUUUAUAUUCAGAAGUAUCACUGGCAAAAUUUAUUUGGGUGGGUGAGUACGUAGGGCUUGUAAUUGUUUUGCUGAUGCUUUGUUAAUUAUUCUACACAAUUCAUGCUGUAUUUGUGAUGUUUGGCUAUGUUCUGUCAUGGUAUGGUUAGCCGGUUUGGGAUUCAUUUGAAUGAAAAGCUGCAUAGAAAUAUAAUGAAUCAAAUCAAACCAGGUCUCAUUUUUUCACCCAGACAAGCAAAAGGCAUGAGUAGAAUUUCAAGGAUGCAUUUUAGCUAGACAAAUAGGGGUUCAAAGGGUAGCCAGUGAGUGGUGUGUCCUGGGGAGAGUUCUGCCUUCCAGCUGACCAGAAUCAUCUCUGUCUUGCCUGGAUUGCUCCAUUUCAGCCAAAUGAUGCCACCUUAUCAUUCAGAAGGUCAAACGACAGCUCAGCUUUGCGAAACCGGUAGUGUAAUAUUGGCUGUGUAUCUGGCAUUGUCAAAAGCAGAUGUUCUCAAAGUGUGCUAUGCUAAUUAACUCUGUUGCUUAAACAAACCUGUUCCUGCUUCCUCGGGAGGAUUUAGCUCCUAAGAUUCAUUCUUGUCACAGGUCCAUAAAAAAGCCGAUUAAAGAAAAGCAAAGGACAGGAG